GGGGCCGUAGCUCAGAUGGUAGAGCUCUCGCUGAGCAUGAGAGAGGUACGGGGAUUGAAACCCCGCAACUCCA